UGUAGCUCAGUUGGUAGAGCACUUGCCUGGCACACAUGAGCCCCUGGGCUCCAUCCCCAGCA
rnacentral:tRNA from 1 species